rnacentral:rRNA from 1 species
GGGUGCUAUAAUGCAAGUCGAACGCUUUGUGGUUCAACUGAUUUGAAGAGCUUGCUCAGAUAUGACGAUGGACAUUGCAAAGAGUGGCGAACGGGUGAGUAACACGUGGGAAACCUACCUCUUAGCAGGGGAUAACAUUUGGAAACAGAUGCUAAUACCGUAUAACAAUGACAACCGCAUGGUUGUUAUUUAAAAGAUGGUUCUGCUAUCACUAAGAGAUGGUCCCGCGGUGCAUUAGCUAGUUGGUAAGGUAAUGGCUUACCAAGGCGAUGAUGCAUAGCCGAGUUGAGAGACUGAUCGGCCACAAUGGGACUGAGACACGGCCCAUACUCCUACGGGAGGCAGCAGUAGGGAAUCUUCCACAAUGGUCGAAAGCCUGAUGGAGCAACGCCGCGUGUGUGAUGAAGGGUUUCGGCUCGUAAAACACUGUUGUAAGAGAAGAAUGACAUUGAGAGUAACUGUUCAAUGUGUGACGGUAUCUUACCAGAAAGGAACGGCUAAAUACGUGCCAGCAGCCGCGGUAAUACGUAUGUUCCAAGCGUUAUCCGGAUUUAUUGGGCGUAAAGCGAGCGCAGACGGUUAUUUAAGUCUGAAGUGAAAGCCCUCAGCUCAACUGAGGAAUUGCUUUGGAAACUGGAUGACUUGAGUGCAGUAGAGCAAAGUGGAACUCCAUGUGUAGCGGUGAAAUGCGUAGAUAUAUGGAAGAACACCAGUGGCGAAGGCGGCUUUCUGGACUGUAACUGACGUUGAGGCUCGAAAGUGUGGGUAGCAAACAGGAUUAGAUACCCUGGUAGUCCACACCGUAAACGAUGAGUGCUAGGUGUUUGAGGGUUUCCGCCCUUAAGUGCCGCAGCUAACGCAUUAAGCACUCCGCCUGGGGAGUACGACCGCAAGGUUGAAACUCAAAGGAAUUGACGGGGACCCGCACAAGCGGUGGAGCAUGUGGUUUAAUUCGAAGCAACGCGAAGAACCUUACCAGGUCUUGACAUCCCUUGACAACUCCAGAGAUGGAGCGUUCCGUUCGGGGACAUGGUGACAGGUGGUGCAUGGUUGUCGUCAGCUCGUGUCGUGAGAUGUUGGGUUAAGUCCCGCAACGAGCGCAACCCUUAUUACUAGUUGCCAGCAUUCAGUUGGGCACUCUAGUGAGACUGCCGGUGACAAACCGGAGGAAGGUGGGGAUGACGUCAAAUCAUCAUGCCCCUUAUGACCUGGGCUACACACGUGCUACAAUGGCGUAUACAACGAGUUGCCAACCCGCGAGGGUGAGCUAAUCUCUUAAAGUACGUCUCAGUUCGGAUUGUAGGCUGCAACUCGCCUACAUGAAGUCGGAAUCGCUAGUAAUCGCGGAUCAGCACGCCGCGGUGAAUACGUUCCCGGGUCUUGUACACACCGCCCGUCACACCAUGAGAGUUUGUAACACCCAAAGCCGGUGGGGUAACCUUCGGGAGCCAGGCGUCUAAGGUG